rnacentral:rRNA from 1 species
GUACACGCUGUGACUAGCAUAUCAAUAAGCGGAGGAAAAGAAACUAACAAGGAUUCCCCUAGUAACGGCGAGUGAAGCGGGAAGAGCUCAAAUUUGAAAUCUUAAAGGGUUUCCCUUUACGAAUUGUAGUUUAAAGAAGUGUUUUCUGUUGAGGUUUUGGUGAAAGUUCUUUGGAAUAGGACAUCAUAGAGGGUGAGAAUCCCGUAUUUGACCUUUACUUUCUAGCUUUGUGAUACACUUUCAAAGAGUCGGAUUGUUUGGGAAUGCAGUCCAAAAUGGGUGGUAAAUUUCAUCUAAAGCUAAAUAUUGGCGAGAGACCGAUAGCGAACAAGUACCGUGAGGGAAAGAUGAAAAGAACUUUGAAAAGAGAGUUAAACAGUACGUGAAAUUGUCAAAAGGGAAGCGUUUGACACCAGUGUUGUUUUUCUGAAAAUCAAUUAAAGAACUGUUUAUGCUAAGUUGUUUAGACUUUAUCAGCUAACUGUUUAGUUUUGAGCUUUUCUUUAAUGCACUUUUCAGUUAACAAGUCAACAUCAAUUUCUUUUGCUGUAAAAAAGCUUGAGGAAGGUGGCUUGAGAUUCGUCUUAAGUGUUUAUAGCCUCUUGCCUAUGCAGUCGGAGAGAUUGAGGUCUGUAGCGUAGAUCCUUCGGGGCUAAAUGCAUUUGUGCUAAGUUAUAGCAUUUUAUAGACAACUUGUUGACUAUGAUUUGUCUUGUAGCUUACUCGCUUAUGUUAUUUUACCUACGCUUAGGAUGUUGAAGAUGUAGCACAUCAU